rnacentral:rRNA from 1 species
GUGCGUAAUAGCUCACUGGUCGAGAGGUCCUGCGCCGAAAAUGUCCGGGGCUGAAACGCGCCACCGAAACUAAGGAAUCUGAAAAGAUUGGUAGAGGAGCAUUGCAUGCGGGAAGAAGCAGUACCGGAAGGAGCUGUGGACUGCAUGGAAGAGAGAAUGCCGGAAUGAGUAGCGAGAUAGAGGUGGGAAUCCUCUAGGCCGAAUAUCCAAGGUUUCCAGGGUAAAGCUGAUCUGCCCUGGGUGAGUCGGGACCUAAGGUGAGGGCGAGAGCCGUAGCCGAUGGACAACAGGUUGAUAUUCCUGUACUGCAGUAUGACAGAACUGUGGGGACACGUAAGGAGAGCGGGAGCCGGGAAUGGAAAGCCCGGUACAAGCGAGGUACCAGUAUGGUAGGAAAAUCCGCCAUGCAAUGGGAAGACGUGAUGUGGAGUGAAUUUUAGUAACGAAGCCCGUGAGCCAUGCGUCAAGAAAAGCCGCUAUCGUUCAUAUUGUACCCGUACCGUAAACCGACACAGGUGGAUGAGGAGAGAAUCCUAAGGCCGGCGGAAGAAGUAUUGCCAAGGAACUCGGCAAAAUGGCCCCGUAACUUAGGGAGAAGGGGUGCCUGCGAGAGCAGGCCGCAGAGAAUAGGCUCAAGCAACUGUUUAGCAAAAACACAGGUCUAUGC